rnacentral:lncRNA from 1 species
AACCAAAACAGGAACAAAGUUAGGCAACUCAGUUGAGCCCUAAAAGUAUAACUUUACAACUAGUACUUUUUCUCAUUCAAUCGAACAAAGAGCAAAACCUAAUUUUAUUGUUCUAUUAUGCCACGGGAGUGUAAAUUUGGAACGAAUCGAUGUCAACGUUCACUAGACCCAAAACCGGAACAACAUUAGACAACUCAGUUGUCCCAUAACAGUAUAACUUUGCAACGAGUACUUUUUCUCAUUCUAUCGAAUAAGGAGUAAAAGCUUUCUAUUAUGCCCUGAGAGUGUAAAUUGAACGAAUCGAUGUCAACGUUCACAAGAACCAAAAUUGGAACAAAGUUAGGCUACUCAGUUGAGCCCUAAUAGUAUAACUUUGCAACCAGUACAUUUUUUCAUUCAAUCGAACAAAGUGCAAGAACUAAUUAUAUGGUUCUAUUAUGCCCCGAGAGUUUAAAUUUGGAACGAAUCGAUAUAAACGUUCACAAGACCCAAAAUCGGAACAAAGUUAGACUACUCAGUUGAGCCCUAAAAGUAUAACUUUACAACUAGUACUUUUUCUCAUUCGAUCGAACAAAGAGCAAAACCUAAUUUUAUUGUUCUAUUAUGCUCCGGGAGUGUAAAUUUGGAACGAAUCGAUGUCAACGUUUACAAGAACCAAAACCGGAACAAUAUUAGACUACUCAGUUGAGCGCUAACAGUAUAACUUUGCAACUAGUACUUUUUCUCAUUCAAUCGAUCAAAGAGCAAAACCUAAUUAUAUUCUUCUAUUAUGCCCCGAGAGUGUAAAUUUGGAACGAAUCGAUGUAAACGUUCACAAGAACCAAAACCGGAACAAAGUUAUACUACUCAGUUGAGCCCAAACAGUAUAACUUUGCAACUAGUACUUUUUCUCCUUCAAUCGAACAAAGAGCAAAACCAAAUUAUAUUGUUCUAUUAUACCCCGAGAGUGUAAAUUUGGAACGAAUCGAUGUCAACGUUCACAAGAACCAAAACCGGAACAAGAUUAGACUACUCAGUUGCGCCACAACAGUAUAACUUUGCAACGAUUACUUUUUCUCAUUCUAUCGAACAAAGGGUAAAACCUUUCUAUUAUGCCCCGAAAGUGUAAAUUUGGAACGAAUCGAUGUGAACGUUCACAAGAACCAAAACCGGAACAAAUUAUACUACUCAUUGCGCCGUAACAGUAUAACUUUGCAACUAGUACUUUUUCUCAUUCAAUCGAACAAAGAGCAAAACCUAAUUAUAUUCUUCUAUUAUGCCCCGAGAGUGUAAAUUUGGAAUGAAUCGAUGUAAACGUUCACAAGAACCAAAACCGGAACAAAGCUAGACUACUCAGUUGAGCCCUAACUGUAUAACUUUGCAACGAGUACUUUUUAUCAUUCUAUUGAAUAAGUAGUAAAAGCUUUCUAUUA